UACAGAGGUCUCAAGCGUUGUUCGGAUUCAUUGGGCGUAAAGGGUGCGUAGGCGGGCCGCCAAGUUCGAGGUGAAAUCCUCCGGCUCAACCGGAGAACUGCCUCGAAUACUGGAGCCUCGAGGCGGGUAGGGGGCACGCGGAACUGUGGGUGGAGCGGUGAAAUGCGUAGAUAUCAGGAGGAACACCGGUGGCGAAGGCGGUUCUCUGGGCCUGUACUGACGCUGAGGAACGAAAGCGUGGGGAGCGAACAGG
rnacentral:rRNA from 1 species